rnacentral:lncRNA from 1 species
GACGGACAACGACAUCAAGAACUACUGGAACACGCAUCUCAAGAAGAAGCUCAAGAAGAUGCAGGCUGGCGGCGAAGGUGACGGGGGAGACGACGGGGGCGGCGGCGACGCCGGCGGUAGGACCGGGGCCGGGGGCGGGAAGCGUCCGGCCGUCCCCAAGGGGCAGUGGGAGCGGCGGCUGCAGACCGACAUCCACACAGCGCGGCAGGCGCUGCGCGACGCGCUCUCGCUGGAGCCCUCGGCGCCGCAAGCGAAGGCGGCGCCCCCACCGACGCCUCCGGGGUCCGCGACGUACGCGUCCAGCGCCGAGAACAUCGCGCGGCUGCUGGAGGGGUGGCUGCGCCCGGGCGGCGGCAGCGGGGGCAAGGGGCCGGAGGCGUCGGGGUCGACGUCCACAACGGCGACGACGCAGCAGCGGCCGCAGUGCUCCGGCGAGGGCGCGGCUUCCGCGUCGGCGAGCCACAGCGGCGGCGCGGCCGCGAACACGGCCGCGCAUACCCCGGAGUGCUCGACGGAGACCAGCAAGAUGGCAAGCAGCGGCGCGGCGGGCGCCGGCGCCGCGCCGGCGUUCUCGAUGCUGGAGAGCUGGCUUCUCGACGACGGCAUGGGCCACAGCGAGGUGGAGCUCAUGGCCGAUGUGGUGCCACUAGGGGACCCCAGUGAGUUCUUUUAAUCAAGUCCGCUUACAAGUACAACCAAAAAAGCAAGUUGAUCAAGUAGCUCGUAGAGAUGCAAGAACACAAGAAGAAAUUAAUCGCCGGACGACGGGUUAGGUGACUAGUUAAGCAGACAUGAACAGACUAAAUGUCUUUGAAUUCUCGGCGAUUUAGAUCGAGUUGGGUGUCGAUCUAGUCUGUUUAAUCCCCUUUUUUAUUUCUUUUCGCUGUUUUUUCUCUGAUGUUAGGGUUUGGAACUGAUCAUGUAAGCUUAUACUAAUGACAGGUUCCUAAAUGGACCAUCCAUGAGGCUGGCAGAAAGAAAGAAGUGUACAUCUUAAAAGAUCUAAAUAUUUAGAUGUUAUAGAUGCUCAAUUAUGUUACUCCGUAUUUUCCUUGCGCUAUAUACACUAUAAAUUCCAUUCCAUUAUACGAAAUGGAGAUUAUUAUAAAAC